rnacentral:rRNA from 1 species
UACGUAGGGUGCGAGCGUUGUCCGGAAUUAUUGGGCGUAAAGAGCUCGUAGGCGGUUUGUUGCGUCGGCUGUGAAAACUCGGGGCUUAACUCUGAGCUUGCAGUCGAUACGGGCGGACUUGAGUUCGGCAGGGGAGACUGGAAUUCCUGGUGUAGCGGUGAAAUGCGCAGAUAUCAGGAGGAACACCGGUGGCGAAGGCGGGUCUCUGGGCCGAUACUGACGCUGAGGAGCGAAAGCGUGGGGAGCGAACAGG